rnacentral:rRNA from 1 species
UACGAAGGGUGCAAGCGUUACUCGGAAUUACUGGGCGUAAAGCGUGCGUAGGCGGUUCGUUAAGUCCGUUGUGAAAGCCCUGGGCUCAACCUGGGAAUGGCAGUGGAUACUGGCGAGCUAGAGUGUGAUAGAGGAUGGUGGAAUUCCCGGUGUAGCGGUGAAAUGCGUAGAGAUCGGGAGGAACACCAGUGGCGAAGGCGGCCCCCUGGGUCAAGACUGACGCUCAUGCACGAAAGCGUGGGGAGCAAACAGG